rnacentral:lncRNA from 1 species
AAUAAUUAGCUGUCUUUGCAUUCCCUUACUUGAUCAUUCCUCUGGAGGACACUGACUGUAAGAAAGCACUAUGUUAUUUGAGAUAUCAAUUCCAAUGUCUUCAUCACAUGCACAAGCCAUGUUUUGCGACACAAUUUAAAUAAUGCAUUUCGGUUGUGUAUUUGAUAACCGAAGCAACACUAAAGGGAGAUACUCCUUCAGGCAGACUGUUUUAGCUAUAAAAAAAAACACGACAAAGGUGUUGAACGUUUUAUAAUCGGUAUCAUCGUUAUCACAUUCGUGGACGGUUUCAAGUGGUGGUAAACAGUGGACAUGAGCCC